UGGUGAAACAACAACCACGUGUGUAUUAUUUACACAUACGUACAGCUAUAGAUUAGGUACCUGUGUGCAGUACCGGUAUGGUACCGAGCAUUUAUAGUUUAAUAAUAACAUAUUUUUAUUAAUGCAUGUACCUUAUAGCAUGAAAAAAUCAUUUAAUCGCAUUUGGUUCGCCUUUAAACGUGUGAAUUUUAAACCUUGAAAUUCCGACUGGGGAUCAGGAUUCAUAUAUAGUUUCGAGCACCCGGGAUCCUGGCAGUGACCAGUACGUCAUAAGUAACAGAGAGCGUGCAUGAAGUAGGACCAUACAAUGUGCACUCUCAUCAAAUGCGCUGUGAAGUUCACGCUGUCAACUCUAAAGUCACAUCGAUGCACCUUGUCAAAAACUCAGGCUUGUUAUCCCCUUCAUAUGGAGCCCACCAAUUCUCUAAGCUGAUGUGUCUAACUACUCAGUGCUCACAAGUGGUGGAGCUGUGCAAGCUUGUUCUUGGAGAGUUCAACAUUGACUGAUACAGGGGGUACAGUUCCAAUAACUUCAGUGUUAUCUGUCGCCGUAAACCAGUGUUCAACCAUUUUCAGCAAUACAGUUCCACAAGAGCAAGAGAAGCCGCACUCAGCACAGGCAAACCUCUCUGUGACGCACACACCCCAAGGCACCUCGCUGUUCAAAUCUCAGUUCAGCCCUUCAGGACAGUAUGAUGUUGUGGUCCAGUGGUAGGCAAAUGCGGUAUUCUACAGCUCGGCGGUCUUUCCCAGGUGCAGCAGUCUGUAGGUGUUUUGCUCAGCUUUUGAUCUCUGGCAUUCAGCCUGCUGGUCUGCCAGCAAGCUGAAGAUGGUCGUGAGUUUUCCCCAAGCUUUGCCCGGUUUAAUACUGGCUAUCAUCAUUAGCUGUCUGGUUGAAUAACAAAUAUUCAUGAAUUUCAUCAUAUUUGGCCACUGUCCUAACAGAUUGACAACUCCAUUUUCUGAUAUGGUGGAACAGUUUGCACUGUCAUCGUUGUCUUCAUCUCAUUGAACUUCAAGCAAAAUGCAAGCCAUCAAUCCAGGACCUCCUACAGAAAUGCAUCCUACACCUUUCACAGACCUAAAUGUACUGUGUGCAGUAAUGCUCGAAUGACUAUACUCGGGAACGUCCAAAUAUGGAGAAGAGUAAACAUUAAUAACAUAUUUGUAAUAAUCAGCUCAUUACAUAUUAUUCUUGCUGAUAGUAUGAGUACAUCAAUGCAGAAAUUGCAAAGUUCUUGCCCACUUGUUAAAGUGAAGGUAGAAAGUGAUAAUAUUUAAAUUGUGUAAUAUAUAUUACAUAUAGGUGAAUGACUUAAAAUUUUACCCCAAAAGUUCAUUUUUAGAGGCAAAUAAAUGUUGUCAGAUAUACUUUUGGUGCGAUAACUUACCUAUUCCUUAGGAUAUCGUCCUACUUUCCAAACAAACCCCAAAACACCUUUAUAACAUUAAUAGAACUCUCAGAAUAAGACACAAGGUACAAUUUUUGUGAU